ensembl:lncRNA
AACACAAGUGUCCAUCAACAGACAAAUGGAUAAAGAAGAUGUGGUACAUGUACAUACAGUAGAAUACUAUUCAGCCAUUAAAAAUUUAAAAAGAAUGAAAUUUUGCUCUUUUGCAACAACAUGGGUGGAAUUGGAGGGUAUUAUGCAUAGUGAAAUAAAUCAUACAGAGAAAGAUAAAUACUGUUUGAUAUAUAAAUGACAAAGCUUGCAGUAGUGAGAAGGGUCCUGGGCCAGUCCUUAAUCCAGCCAGCUGGCUGAGACACCUCCAUUCAGAUGUUCUCACCAUUCUCUCAAAUUCAAUACAUUCAGAGCUUAAGUUCAUAAUUUUUCUCAAUUUACCUCCUGUCUGUGGAACCACCGUUCUCAUUGUCCAAGCUCCCGAUCUUUUACUGCCUAAAGCUAAUGUACUGCUGGAGCCUCUAACAUUCCUAUACACCUCUCUUGUCCUUUAUCACUGCCCUGGUAUCAGCCACCACUCAAUUAGUGUUGCUCAACUGGCUGACUCAGCCUGCACUCUCCAGCUAGUUUAUGAUUUCAAAUGCACCGUUUCAUCACACCACUCUCCUAAUGGAAAACCCUGACACUUCAUAAGGCAUUGCAUCCAGUCUUCUUCCUACCUCCUUAACUUUUGGGCUCUCCAUGAUUAGGCCCCAUCCACUCUCUUCUCUCUCCACCUACCCAUUCUCCCACCUGCCCCCCAUUAUUCCUAACAGUCCCCUUUCUUUCAGCUGGGCAGCUUAGACCCAUGUGUCAUGGUUCCACACCUCCUCUCUAGACCCAAACAACACCAUGCAUAAGAAAGCACUUUGUAAAUUGUCUGUGGCCCACAAAAGCUGCUGUUGUGCAUUCUGCAAAGCCUAGUUACAGCUGCCUCUUUAAACCUUCCCAGACCUGUCUUUCUCAUGGUACCACAACUUAGCCCUUGAUUUAUAGUGUUCUAAGGUGAGAAUACACAUGUCUCCUGGCCCAUCAAUUCUAACAGAGCAUUUAAUCUAUUUUAUCUCAAUUUCUGGUUUGGAUACUAAAUUGGCACUUAAUUCAUAAGGCUGUGUUGAAUAUGGUUGUUCCAUAUCCAGUCACAUGUACAUCAUCCCUAAUUAUGAUGCAUCCUUUUAGAGAUCGUUGUACAGACAGACAAUAUAGGAAAAUCAAUAAGGUAUUAUAUAAAUCAGGCUUCAUGAAGGUUAUACCAGCUGUGUUAAAUGCAUUGGUUAGUUUUCUUUUUCUUGUUGCUGGUGUUUAAUAAAGCUUGUCUUUAAACCAACUGAUCCUUGCACUUUUUUUUGCCAGCAGGUGUGACUAAGGAUUACAUUUCACUGAGGAUGAAGGUCAGUGUUAUUGGCUUAUCCAGAUGUUCUCCUUCUUUUUGAGUCAAUUUUAGUAAUAUUUCCAAAUAUAUGCCUUUCCAUGGUUGGUAUCAUAACCACACCUUACAGGUAGAAGAUUGAGGCUUAAAAACAGCACUGUAGGGCUUCCCUGGUGGUGCAGUGGUUGAGAGUCCGCCUGCCGAUGCAGGGGACACGGGUUCGUGCCCUGGUCCGGGAAGAUCCCACAUGCUGUGGAGCGGCUGGGCCCGUGAACCAUGGCUGCUGAGCCUGCGCGUCCGGAGCCUGUGCUCCGUAAUGGGAGAGGCCACAACAGUGAGAGGCCUGCGUACUGC